AACGGGUGUAGUUGCUAACAUUGUCACUAAUGGCGCACGGGUGAGUAAUACAUAGAUAACAUGCCCUUAAGAGGGAUAACUGUGGAAACGACAGCUAAUACCUCAUAUGCUAUAUAUCAUAAAUAUAUAGUGAAAAGGUUAAUUCUGCUAAAGGAUGGUCUAUGACUAUUAUUAUUGGUGAGGUAAAGGCUCACCAAGACAAUGACGGUACUGGUUUGAGAGGAUGAACAGCACACCGGAACUGAGACACGGUCCGGACUCCUACGGGAGGCAGCAGUAGGGAAUAUUGCACAAUGGGGGAAACCCUGAUGCAGCAACGCCGCGUGGAGGAUGAAGCAUUUCGGUGUGUAAACUCCUUUUAACAAGGAAGAAAUUGACGGUACUUGUUGAAUAAGCACCGGCUAACUCCGUGCCAGCAGCCGCGGUAAUACGGAGGGUGCAAGCGUUACUCGGAAUUACUGGGCGUAAAGGGUAUGU
rnacentral:rRNA from 1 species